rnacentral:rRNA from 1 species
CGUAGGAUGCUAGCGUUGUCCGGAUUUACUGGGCGUAAAGAGCGCGCAGGCGGCACCUCAAGUACUCUCUGAAAUCCACCUGCUCAACGGGUGGGGUGGAGAGUAGACUGAGGAGCUAGAGAGAGGUAGAGGGGGGUAGAAUUGCUGGUGUAGCGGUGAAAUGCGUAGAGAUCAGCAGGAAUACCCGUGGCGAAGGCGGCCCCUGGGCCUCUUCUGACGCCGAGGCGCGAAGGCUGGGGGAGCGAACGGGAUUAGAUACCCCGGUAGUCCCAGCAGUAAACGAUGACCACUAGGUGUGGGGGGUGUUGACCCCUUCCGUGCCGAAGCCAACGCAUUAAGUGGUCCGCCUGGGGAGUACGGUCGCAAGACUAA